CUAUGAUACAAUACAAAAUGGGUCUUGAUUGGAGUAAUAGGAACCACUGAUUUAAUUCUAUCGGUUCUUAAUUGAUUUGUGGGAGGCAUUUAUGGAUAUUGAAGCAGAAGAGUGAAAUGGGCUAUUGUUUGAAGAUGACGACUGUAUGUGGGCAGAGAGUGAGAGAAGCUGGGACUAUACUGGUGUGGGUUGUGUGUGGAGAGCAUUAGGAAGACUAUGUGGCGUUGAGUUUCUACCUAGGAGUGAAG
rnacentral:misc_RNA from 1 species